rnacentral:rRNA from 1 species
CCUACGGGAGGCUGCAGUGGGGAAUAUUGCACAAUGGGGGAAACCCUGAUGCAGCGACGCCGCGUGAGUGAAGAAGUAUUUCGGUAUGUAAAGCUCUAUCAGCAGGGCAGAAAAUGACAGUACCUGUUUAAGAAGACCCGGCUAACUACGUGCCAGCAGACGCGGUACUACGUAGGGGGCAAGCGUUAUCCGGAUUUACUGGGUGUAAAGGGAGCGUGGACGGUGAUGCAAGUCAGAAGUGAAAGCCCGGGGCUCAACUCCGGGACUGCUUUUGACACAGUGUGACUGGAGUGUAGGAGAGGUAAGCGGAAUUCCUGGUGUAGCGGUGAAAUGCGUAGAUAUCAGGAGGAACACCAGUGGCGAAGGCGGCUUACUGGACUGUAACUGACGUUGAGGCUCGAAAGCGUGGGGAGCAAACAGGAUUAGAUACCCUAGUAGUC